rnacentral:rRNA from 1 species
GACGGAGGUCCCAAGCGUUGUUCGGAAUCACUGGGCUUAAAGGGCGUGUAGGCGGAUUGGUGCGUACCGUGUGAAAUCCCUUGGCUCAACCAAGGAACUGCUCGGUAUACGACCGGUCUUGAGGCAGGUAGAGGCGCCUGGAACCUUAGGUGGAGCGGUGAAAUGCGUAGAUAUCUAAGGGAACGCCGGUGGCGAAAGCGGGGCGCUGGGCCUGUCCUGACGCUGAGACGCGAAAGCGUAGGGAG